GCCGGAAGCCGGAAGCAGGAAGCUGCCUUGAAUUGCCGUUGCCGCCCUGAGGGCGGGGGCCGUUGGCUGACGAGGAAACCUGCGGAGAGAGGAGCAAACCCGAGCGACGGAUUCAGACAGGGCCCCGGAUGCAGAUGGAGAGGCAAAUAAUAGAAUACUUGAGAAAUGCUGGAUAUCAACAUGUAUCUUGGAGAGAUGGCAACUUCAAUGACAGAAAGAGGUUCAUCUGUGAUAAAGCAGGAAACAUGUCCCAUCAGGAGUUGGGGAGAGAAUGUGACUCAAGGUCCAGGAUAAUCGGUUCUUCUCUGACAACCUCUAUUUUCUUCUUAAAAGUCGGUUUCUGUUUUUCUCUACAAGAUCUCUGCCACUGUAGGUAACCGCUAAGUUACCCUCUGCUUUGGGUUUUACUGUUACCGCUACCACCACCCAAGUGUUCUUGCUGUGUCCUGUCCUGCCCAGAGCUUUGAGUCACUCAGAACUUCUCCCUCAGGACAUACUCAGCUGAGUAAGGUAUCAUUGGCUUUGGGGAACGAAAUAUUCUUUGUUGUUGGAAGGAGGCUGUUCUAUACAUUAUAGGGAUGUUUAGCAGCAUCCCUGCCCUCUGCCUGCUAAAUACCACAAAUAGUUCUCAAGUUGUGACAACCAAAACUAUCUCCAGACAUUGCUAAAUGUUCCCUUUGGUUUCAACCACUUACACUUAAAACUUUCUGCUUAUGCAUCCCUCCUUAUGGUCUCUCCCUUCCUUCCCCUUCCUUUCUCUCCCUCUCCCUUUCUGAGUCUCUCUCUCCCUGAUUCUCACUUCCACUCUUUCUCACCCUCCCUUCCCCCCCCCCCUUACUAUUUCACAGUUAAGCUCACUUUCAGGGAGAGAAAGUUUCCCAGAUAGUGAUAGUAUGCCCAGCCAGUACCUUCCAUGGUCUUUCCAUGAGAGUUAAAUAAUAUCUAUCCUUAAGGGAGGUUAAAUAAACCAAAUCAAUGACACA
rnacentral:lncRNA from 12 species